CUUCUUCUUUGGGUUUUAAUGGCGGUUGGCAUACCAGCCUGUAGGCGCAUUACCGCCACCUGCUGGACUGGAGGUGGCGCAGUAGAGCUGCAGGGAAAACAGCUUUCUCUCUAUUGUUCCUCUUAUUUUUAAAUAAUUCAUUUAACAAUGAUGUACUUCCCGUGAUUUAGUUCUACUGUAAUAUUGUGUGGUACUUUAAUGGCAAUUUGUUGUUGUUUUAUUGAUUGUUUUCUCAAUAUAUCCUAUUUCUUCCACCUCUACAUAAGCAGGAACAGACAGAGACAAGAGACAUAUAAUCCCCUAUUAUGUAGCCCAUAUCGUUUGUGAUGAAUCUCAUAAAGUAUGUCCUGACUGCAUGAUGACUUUCCUGUUUUAAUAACUUUAUUAGAUUGAUUGUUCAUUACUGACAGAUGGUCUGAUACUCUUUUCCCCGCUAUGUCACAAUGUGGGAUGAAGAAUGCAGCACCUGUAUGGCCUGUCUGGAUCUUUUGAAUCUAUAUUAUGUGGUCAGCAAGAUUUUAAAAUACGAGUUCAAUGAGAAAUGCUGCCUUUCUAUACUCGAAAAGUCAUAAUGGAGACUGCAACUACAGUAGUAUUUUGGGGGCGGUCGGCAGCCACAUGAAGCGCAUCUCUGCAUGCAACCACAAUCAUCGCUGCAACACCUUAAAAUCAUUUCCACAUAUUAAAAGUCUUUUUGUGGUGUUAUCUCUGGGAACUUUACUGCCAACUUCGGUGUCAUUGACAUGUUAUCCUGGCAGAAUGGGACUGGGAGGACAUGAACUGCAGGCCAAAAUCAGAUCUGAUGGUGAAAGGGAGACCAUGGCAACGGAAAAUAUUCGAUCACCUUGUCUGUUGUAGUUGACUGCAGGUUGUCAUAUUCCUAAUAUUGGCUGUAAUAGUCUAUAACUACCAAUAUAGAAUGUCUUAGCCUUGAAUUCAAACCAAAGGCAAGUCGUUUCAACUGUAAAGCCAGUCCUACUUGGACAUUUGUCAAACACAAGACUGCAUUCAUAAAUCCUAUAAUUAAUAGGAUGUCUGUAUUAUCCAUUAAUAAUAUGUGUAUAUCCAUAACGUCUGUCUAUCUCUCUUUCUUCAAGAUUUUGCUAAGCACAUAAAGGCGGACAGGUUUAAUUUUCAAUGAUGCCUGAGAUACACUCCUCAGUUGUCACUUUGAAGGAUUCUUCGCUGUCCACCGUGUUUCAGCCAGCCAGUGAGAGGUGCAGUCGGACUGAUGGUUGACAGAUCUGGACUUGUCUGCGGCACCAGGAUCCAUGAGUAUCAGGCUAUCAUGUGGACGUGCUUCCUGAUCAGGGUCCGUGCUAUGCUCAGCUGCUUCAACCAAGGCUUCUCUGUGAAGCCACCAGGGUUCACAGACUGCAAGCUGGAGAGUUGUCGUUGUGGUGCCCUUUUGGAAGGGAUUUGUUGCACUGAAAGUAAGUUGCUGAUUGGAGGUAAAGGCUGCAGAGCUUUGGCCUUAAUUCCUCUCCUUGGUCUGAUCACAGCCUUCCUAGAUUUGGAAGACAUAUUCGGUGGGUUGAAGCCAUCUACUAGCAACAUAUCCUCCACCCUGACUUUGAGGGCUGCAUUGGUGUACUGGCAUCGAUUGGAGGCUGCCCUUUUCUGCCCCAAAUGCACCCAGCGUUUUAUCUGGAGGUAAACGCGCAUGGGCAGCGACACGCUUGGCAGGGAAACUACUGAGCACAGCUUGUUGGCUAAGUAGCGCACACAAUCCCUGUGACCACGUUGAAUAGCAACUUUCAAAGGGUCACGACCUGCAGGGUCCAGACAAGCCAAGGUCAAAAAGUUCUUGGUGAUAAAGAGUUUGAGGAUGAGGAGCUGACUGCUCUCUGCAGCUAUGUGGAUGGGACACUUUCCGGUGUCUCGGUGGGCGGUUUGGUGGCACCACUGGCGGUACGGAUGGACUCCCACUGGUUCCUCAGCAUGGAUACCUCUCUCCAGCAACCAGUCUGCCAGAUCCAGGUGGCCUAAAGAGGCAGCAAUGUAGAGUGCUACCUGCAGCUGAAACCUGGAAAAGAAGGAUGAGAAAGAUUUUCUUUUGUGGGUGGCUCUGGACUGUCAAUCUGUGGCCCAGGAGGCAACCCUGGAGAAACUCCACCCACCCGUCCCACGUGUCCAAACGGAGAGUAGUGCCUUUGUUGAAAAAAAUACAAAUACAUUUUUUAAAAUUCUAUUUAA